AGUAGCAGUUGACAUGCUGGCAACGAGUAGGUACCAAAAACAAAAGCAUUUCACCUUGCCUCCAUUUGGUAAAAUUCAUUGCCAAGUUCGGUGGGCAGGCCUUGGCUUCUGAAUUCGAACGUGUGAAGGCUUUUACUGGCUUUUUAUAAGGUACCAGGUGAUUCAACGGUUCUGUGCUGGGGCAGUCGUGAAACGAGCAGACCCCAAAGUUGAAAACAUCUGCUUUCAACCAAUAAAACUGUUGCUUCGGUUGCAAUAAUGUGAAUUAGGCGCAGAGAUGCCAGUAAAGCCUAACCUGGUGGGAUUAUUCAGCUGAUUUAUAGGCUUCCACGACUUUACACAACCUCAAAUACUUCCCUAGUGAAAACUUCAUCUCUGGCACCCCUGAUUAGGAGAGCAAUGACAAUUUCCAAGGGCCCAUUCGCACAUCACAUCAGCUCGAGAGCGUGUAUAUAUGCUAUAUUCUGCCACAAAUUGACGAUGAAACGCUAUGUUUAUAAUUAAAUCCUAAUAAAACUUUUUAUUUUGUUACAAACU